UACGAAGGGGGCUAGCGUUGCUCGGAAUCACUGGGCGUAAAGCGUGCGUAGGCGGUGUCUUAAGUUUGUUGUGAAAUCUCCCGGCUCAACUGGGAGGGUGCGGCGAAUACUGAGAUGCUGGAGUGCGGGAGAGGUAAGCGGAAUUCCUGGUGUAGCGGUGAAAUGCGUAGAUAUCAGGAGGAACACCUGCGGUGUAGACGGCUUACUGGACCGUAACUGACGCUGAGGCACGAAAGCGUGGGUAGCAAACAGG
rnacentral:rRNA from 1 species